AUUGAACGCUGGCGGCAUGCCUUACACAUGCAAGUCGAACGGCAGCGCGGGUGCUUGCACCUGGUGGCGAGUGGCGAACGGGUGAGUAAUACAUCGGAACGUACCUUAUCGUGGGGGAUAACGCAGCGAAAGCUGUGCUAAUACCGCAUACGCCCUGAGGGGGAAAGCGGGGGAUCGAAAGACCUCGCGCGAUUAGAGCGGCCGAUGCCUGAUUAGCUUGUUGGUGGGGUAAAAGCCCACCAAGGCGACGAUCAGUAGCUGGGCUGAGAGGACGAUCAGCCACACUGGGACUGGGACACGGCCCAGACGCCUACGGGAGGCAGCAGUGGGGAAUUUUGGACAAUGGGGGCAACCCUGAUCCAGCAAUGCCGCGUGAGUGAAGAAGGCCUUCGGGUUGUAAAGCUCUUUUGUCAGGGAAGAAACACCGGCUCUAACACAGUCCGGGAAUGACGGUACCUGAAGAAUAAGCACCGGCUAACUACGUGCCAGCCGCCGCCGUAA
rnacentral:rRNA from 1 species